GGCUGUCACAUAAAGCACUGCUGUUCAAAAAUUAUGGGUCAGUAAGAUUUUAAGGAAAUUAAUACUUUUAAUUAGCAAUGACAUAAUACAUUUAUUAAAAGUGACAGUAAAGACAUUUAUAAGGUGAAAAUAAAUAAAUGCUGUUCUUUUGAAUUUCUUUUCAUCAGACAAUCCUGAAAAAAAAAAAAACCUUUCACGGUUUUGACCAAAAUAUUAAGCAACACAAAUGUUUUCAACUUUGAUAAUCAGAAAUAUUUCUAGAGCAGCAAAUCAGCAUAUUUGAUGCUUUCUGAAGUAUCAUGUAACAUUGCAAAAAUUGGAGUGAUAGCUGCUGAAAAUAAAGCUUUGCCAUUAAAAAAUAAGUUAAAGGGAUACUCCCAAAAUGAAAAUUUUGUCAAUAUUCACUUACCCCCAUGUUGUUCCAAACCCGUAAAAGCUUCGUUCGUCUUCGGAACACAAUUUAAGAUAUUUUGGAUGAAAACAGGGAGGCUUGAGACUGUCCCAUAGACUGCCAAAUAAAUAACAGUGUCAAGGUCCAGGAAAGUAUGAAAAGCAUCGUCAGAAUAGUCAUCUACCAUCACUGAUUCAACCGUGACGAAAAUACUUUUUGUACACGAAGAAAACAAAAAUAACGACUUUAUUCAACAAUUCGUCUCCUCAGAUGGUGUACGCUCUUCUGUAUCAGCAGCGCCACAAGGAUACGUUUUUUACGUGUAUUUACACUUUGGGUUGAAAGCAAACAACGCAUCGUCACAGCGCGGCUGACAGAGAAGAGUGUAAGCCAUCUGCGUACAGCUCAGAUAAGCGAUUAAUGACAACAUUUUCAUUUUGGGAUGGAGUAACCCUUUAAAUGUAAAAUAUAUUUGAACAGAAAUAAAAUGCAAAUAUUUAAUAAUAUAACAUUUUACUAAUUUUGUAUAAUACAAUAGCCACUUGGUAUUAUGCCACAAGCAUUAGCAUUUAGUUUGACCCCUAACUGUGUGAUCAACCUCUAGCUGUAGAGUACACUGGUGCCUUUUAAUUGCUUUCUUUUUCAUGGUCAAUAUGACUUUCAGUGUGUGCUUCCUCAUCCCUAUCUCAUUUUCCAGGACGCUGGAGACCGCACAGAGGCCCCUGCAUAAAGGCGGUUAACGUGUUUUCAUGAGAUAAAAGCGCAGUGAUUGCGGACUCCUCCAUCCUGUGAGACCAAAGCACUGUGUUUGAAGUUGACAACUGACAGAAAGCGGUAAAACAUUGAAGCCUGGCAGAGCACUGGUUUUCCAGUAUACUUGGCACACACGGAUUUUGUCCUCGUGUUUUCCCACAAAUCAGAAAGGACAUCAUUAUAACAAUAAAACGUUUGUUUUAACAGCCAGUGGCCUAUUUUUGACAUUUGCCUAUCUGUCAAAUGCAAUUAUAUUCACUGAUUAAAGUUGAUGAAAAAAGCUUGCUAUCUUAAUAAAGUCCCUUAAUAGAAGACAACACAAUCGUAGUGAAGCAUGACUGCUGAUAUAGUCUAAAAUCUACACCAGUGAAUAAAAAUAACACUCUUGGCUGAAGACCAAAUUAAUUAAAUGAAAACAGUUUAUCCACACAUCUGAUAUAAAACAAGACAAUAGCAGGACCACACAAGAGUUUCUAAGAUCACAAAAUGAUUCACAGACUAUCUAAAUUUAAAGGAACCCAAAUAUUAAAAUUUGCUGAAAAUGUACUCACCCUCAGGCCAUCCAAUACGUAGAUGAGUUUGUUUUGUCAUUGGAACAGAUUUGGAGAAAUGUAGCAUUACAUAAUUUGCUCACCAAUGGAUCAUCUGUAGUGAAUGGGUGCCAUCAGAAUUACUUGUGGAUUAUUGUGAUGUUUCUAUCAGCUGUUUGAACUUCCAUUCUGACGGCACCCAUUCACUGCAGAGGAUCCACUGGUGAGCAAGUGAUGUAAAGCUAAAUUUCUCCAAAUCUGUUCUAAUGAAGAAACAAACUCUACAUCUUGGACAGCCUGAGGGUGCUACAUUUGCAGUGAAUUUUCAUUUUCGGGUGAACUAUUCCUUUAAUUUAAUAGAUGAAUAAUUUAUUUGCCCUUUCAGUUAACACUCUAACAGCCUGAAUGGCUGAUUCAUAGUCUAAAAUAAAAGCCAAUAAAUACAUAUAAAAAAAAAAGGUUUUGUGCUCUAUUUCUAAACAAGAGUCUAAUGAGUGACCUGUUGCGAACAGGUAAUGGAAAU
ensembl:lncRNA